rnacentral:lncRNA from 1 species
UCAUGUAGCCUUUGAUUAUUCUUACAUUGUAUGUUUUUACUGAACAAUACCAUAUUUCCGUGACUCCUGGGUAUGGAAGAGCCAGCAUUCCAAAGCCAACGUUUGAAGAUAUCAUUUAGUUUUGCUUUUGUCAUUCUGAUUUGUACUAGGUCAGCCAGCAAAAGGUAUGCCAGAUAGAAAAAAAUAAAUAAAGUACAUCUUUAUGAAAUAUCGGUUGGGGGAUAUUGGAAAAGGCCUAGCCGUUCUAAUCCUUUGUGCUUCCUCUUUCUCCCUUAGCAUCCAUCUUUCAUUAUUUCCCGUAGUCUCUUGAAAGUAAAUAUAAGAGUUGAGCCUAAUUCCUCCUACUUGUGAUUUCUGAGGUGUGACUCAGCAGAUUUUUCUUUGUUGUGAGGCUGAGUGAAGGGGAACGGAAUAUAAUACUCUUAUGGAAAACGGCAGUGGAAUUUCAUGGUGGAUAAUAUUUCUCUUUGUUGAAGUUUUAAAGCUGCCUAUCAAAUGCAGUUAUGGAUUAUCUCUCUCUGCUUCAGAACUACCCAAACACGUGAUUCUCAGAGCGGGAGGUGGGUCUGCCUAAAGAGACAUGAGCGCUAUUAGACAGGGACUAUGAGCUUCCACUUUCCCUACUACCUUUCUUCAAUUUUGGCUGUAUUCUUAGAGCUGGUCUAUAAUCACUUUUACCAAAGAGCUCAACAUCCCCUUGGUGACCCUCUCCACACACCAGCUGUAUUGUGAACCUGAACUCUUUGCAUGAAUUGGAGGCCACCACAAAGAGUUUUCCCUGCUAUUACUGUCAGCCGCCAUUGGAGAGGAUCAGGAGCGAUGGCUUCAAGACCCAUUGAAAUUAAUGGACCCAAGUUAAUCAUGUUCAUUAGUUUUGAUGGGUUGUAUCCGACACUAGGCUACUCUGAAUAAAACUUAGUUGUAUACAACCCAAAGGGAUCUACUCUGAGUAGGACUAGCCAAUUAAGAAUUAAAAAGCAAAACAAAUUCUGCAAAAUCAAUUAAAUGGUUAUGAAACAGUCUCACUAAACUUAAGUAGAAACAAUUAGAUGAUGAAUUGAGUGGUGUAUUACUUUUGUCAUUGGUUUCCCUGAUUGCAUAUGCAAAUAUACUAUACUACAUUGGAAGACUAAUUUUGGAGGAAACAGACAGGGUGAGGGUGGUUCAGAAGGAAGAUGGGAUAAGCAUCUGAUUGCACAAGGCAAACACUUAUCUCACUACAUUGUGACUACAUGAACAAAGAGUCAGCUGUAGCUGGGAAUGUUAUCUCCUAUGUGGGUGUCUCAGUGUGAAAAGAUAAUAUGAACUGUAUCAAAUGAUGAAGAAUGGAAGUAAAUGUCUCUUUGGCAGUAAAUGUCUCUUUGGCAGUAAAUGUCUUCAGUUUUAGGAAGAGAUAUUUGGAGUCAGUUUUAGACAACUGUGAUGAAGACUCCGAGUUUUAAGGAUAGAAAGUUUUAAGGAUAGAAAUUCAUUUUGACACAUACCUCCCCUAUUUAGCUUUAUUUUAUCCUAACAUUGAAUUGUUAGCUUUAGCAAAACAAGCAUAAAAAAUCAUUAUAAGUAGACUUCUUUGUGGAGUUUAAAAUUUGUUCUCUUUGAUUUGUUUGCUUUUGGUAUAAAAUUCUACUCUAUUCUACUCACUGCUAUCUUUUUCUAAAGAUGCCCAGUGUCAACAGACACAUUACCAGUGAAAUGGGAAAACUUUUUUCAGAUUCCUAUACUGUAUCUGAGAAAUAUAUAUUUCUGCACACUACCCUGAUUUCCCAGGGUACAUGUUUCCUUUGGAAUGAAGCACAGAAGGAAACACGGUUUAUUUCAAAGUCAGUAGGAUACCAAUAAUUUUAUUUGCAACCUGCCUUCCUAAAUUCCAACAUUGAGUUUGUCUCCUUUCUUGAUGUUGCAAACAGAGUUGAAUACACAAGUCUAAGAACGUUCAGUGGAGUCCAUAGGCAUAGUAACCUCUGCUUCCAAGUAUGAGUCUUUGUUAUGUACUGAGUUGAAUAGGAUCCAAACUGCAGCAGUCUGAUUGGUCCUAGAACAAUAGGAUCCAAAAUGCAGCAGUCUGAUUGGUCCUAGAACAAUAGGAUUCAGAAUGCAGCUGUCUGAUUGGUCCUAGAACAAUGCAGCAGUAUGAUUGGUUGGCAGGAACCACCCAAUCAUGCUCCAGAUAGAAGUGAAUUCACAACCUGAUUGAAUUCUGGAAUUAGCCAAUCAUGUGCGGCCCAUUGUGUAAAUAAUGUAUGUAAAGCAGAUACUGUGAGGGGACUUUCAUUCAUUCCUCCUCACCACUAUGAGCUGAAUAAAGAGCAUGAAAUCAC